GAGACACAGGUGAGGCCCAAACAGGCUGCCUUUAGAAUUUACUAAGAAGAGGGAAGAAACAAACUUUCGGAGAGCAUUUCAACUUUUCGACUCAACAUACACGUGAAAAGAAGGGUAGUGUCAACAGAAUGCAGAGACAUACAGAUGGGGAUGGAAAAGAAUCUUUGGCUGGAGUCCACAACGUGAAAGACUUCUCCUCAAGUAUGGAUGCCUGACCUGAAGCCUGAGACGCCGAGCAGCCUUGGCCAUCAGAGAAGAUGAGAGCAGUGCUACCCCACCCUGUGGACGUGGGCUCUGUACCUGUGACCAAAGCAGCUCGGCCUGGAGCAGGCAGACCCCCUGGUCAUCCCACGUGGACAAUGACCACUGUGUGACCGUCCACCACAAAACGUUACCCUGGUACUUCCCGGUGCCAAAGUGGCAGGAGGUAGCACUCUCCUCCCGCCCCACUGUGGCCCCCCACCUUUAGCUGCCCUGGUCAUCUCGGUGAGCAGCUCGAGUGGUUAAGCAGAUACCCCAGGCUGGCAGCCCGACUUCUGCCCAUACUGACAUUCUCCUCUGUAACAUCCCUCCUCCGCAGCUAUGAACAGAAUCCAUGAGGUGAUCACUGUGAAACACUCAGAUGACUACAGACGGCUGAGGGAUUAUUACAUGGUAAUUUAUAUAAAAAGCAGUUCCUGUGUUUAGGCUCUUUUUGUAUUUCCAUAUGGAAAGGAGAAUACCAACCCAGUGUUCUGCACAAGCAUAAUAAAGACCCACAGAUACCUAGCAGCAGCACUGUGCUGGAUAAUCUGCCAAGGGACGCACAUCCAUGACGUCAUCCGGCCCUCAGCACAACUCCAAAGGCAGAGAUGGUUACUCUAAUGCUAAAGAUAAAGAAGCAUAAGUUGCAGGACAUGUAAAAGACAGAGCUGGGACUGGAAGCUCUGCCUGACGUCCUGGCCCAUGCUUUUACCUUUAUGGAACUUCGAAGGUGGUAUGACAUCAGUACCACC
ensembl:lncRNA